CUGAAAUAGGAGAAGUAAGGAUAUCACCAUAUCCAAGAACUCUGGUCGAGCGUUUGCGAUUGGUACUCAGCAGAAUAGAGCAUUAAUAUUCCCGGCAAAUGUCUCUCCCUGCCCCAAAUGUUUCACGAUCAAUCCUGGCACACCCUACCACAGUGUAUACAGAACCGAAAUUACCGAAUUGUAGACAGUAAAUUCGAGGCAAUUGUGAACGAUGAGGAAUUUUCGAAAUUGUUUGUCAUAGCAUCUAGAACAGUGCAUGUCUGUCACCUCCCAGGAAAAUCAGAAGCGGAAUUCAUUCGAGUGGAGCAGAGAGUGAUUGUCGGGCAGCUAUCAAAUCUCUGCGCCUUUACAGCCACACGAUAACACAGAUGACGGCCAUUGAAAUGGACGCCAUUAGAAAACAUUUAGUGCUGUGUUCACUGAGGUCAAAUACAUCCAAGCCGAUGGAUCUGCUUUGAAACAACUCGGUAAG